GAUGAAGAACGCAGUGAAAUGCGAUAAGUAGUGCGAAUUGCAGAAUUCAGUGAAUCAUCGAAUCUUUGAACGCACAUUGCGCCCCUCGGUAUUCCGUGGGGCAUGCCUGUUCGAGCGUCAUUUACCCCUCAAGCACUGCUUGGUGUUGGGCGUCUGUCCCGCUUCGCGCGCGGACUCGCCCCAAAGGUAUUGGCAGCGGUCGUGCCAGCUUCUCGCGCAGCACAUUGCGCUUCUCGAGGCGGUCGAUCGGCGUCCACGAAGCUCACCUCCACCGUUUGACCUCGGAUCAGGUAGGGAUACCCGCUGAACUUAAGCAUAUCAAUAAGCGGAGGA
rnacentral:misc_RNA from 1 species